UCCUUGUUAGCACAGUUAAUAGAGCACUCCACUGGAAAUGGAGAUGUCCCUGGUUCGACACCAGGACCAGGCA
rfam:Ixodes scapularis strain Wikel colony gcontig_1107728571826, whole genome shotgun sequence.